GGCGGGGGUGAGGGCGGCGAGACUCCCGCCGCCGCCGCCGCGGGCAAGUCCAGUAUAGCGAGCAGAUCGGCGGCAAGGAUGGAGAGGACGAGAAUCCCGGCGGUCGCGCUACUGACGACUGAACUGUGUCCUGUCUCCCACCCACACUCAAAUCCAUAUGUUGAAGCUCCAGAGUCCCAAUGUGAUUGUACUUGGAGACAGAACCUUUAAAGAGAAAAUUAAAGUGUAUUUCUCAUCCCUGGAAGACUGCCUGCAAAGAAGGGCAUCAUAGGAACUACAGCAGCCUAUACUUCCACAGUUCUGUUUCAUGAAAAGGGUCAAGGUACUCUGAUAAGAGCUGAGUCUACAUUGAUGAAUACAACCAAUAAGGGACCCCUACCCAUGAGGAGUUUCACUGUCUUAUAGAAGAGUCUGUUACUUAACUAUUCCAGCAAGGAGAAAAACAUAAAUGGUUGUUAUUGGUCAGCUGGGAGACUCUUCAAUUCUGAACCAGCUUUGUUCAUCUCUAUGGGCAACAGGCAGCUCAUCUGAAGCUGGGUGGUCUGGGAUCAUUUCAAUUGCCUAUCUGUCAGCUGGAAGGUCAGAUCAUCUAAAGCCCUUCAGCUGGUCUCUCAUUUUCCAGUUAACCUGGGUGUCUUCAUAUGGUGGUGGAAAGUUUUCCAGAUGCAAGAGAGGGCAAGUUCCAAGGUACAAGUCCUUUUCAAGUUUCUGCUUACAUUCAUGUUUGGCUUUUUGACCAAACCAGGUGAAAAACCCCAAGCCCCCAAGCAACUGAAGAUUCAAGUAGUAAAGAUUCUCCCCUUUGUUGGGAAGAACAAAAAAGUAACAUUGUAUGGCAGGAAUUUUCUUAUAGAAAUGGCAGGAAUUUCUAAUAAUUCAUUUGUAAUCUACCAUUGUGUGUUCUACAGUAAAUUUUACUCUUCUUGGUCAAUGAAUGUCAAUGAGCAUAAUAUUAUGUAAAUGCUAGUUUAUUUGUAGGUUGAUUCAGGUUCUUGAAUUUUAAAAAAAGUCAAUAUUAAUUCAGAAGCUGUUUUUGGAAAGUAACAUUUACUUAUAAGUAGAGAUUAGGAAACAUACUUUAUCAAGAAAAAAGCCAAACAUUUAAGAAUUAUUUGAGUACAAUAAUCAAAGCAAGUUGGUUAGGAUAAAGAAAGGCUGACCUCAAAAAAA